GACGAACGCUGGCGGCGCGCCUAACACAUGCAAGUCGAACGGAGUCAAGAGGAGCUUGCUUUUCUUGACUUAGUGGCGAACGGGUGAGUAACGCGUGAGUAACCUGCCCUGGAGUGGGGGACAACAGUUGGAAACGACUGCUAAUACCGCAUAAGCCCACGGAUCCGCAUGGAUCUGCGGGAAAAGGAUUUAUUCGCUUCAGGAUGGACUCGCGUCCAAUUAGCUAGUUGGUGAGGUAACGGCCCACCAAGGCGACGAUUGGUAGCCGGACUGAGAGGUUGAACGGCCACAUUGGGACUGAGACACGGCCCAGACUCCUACGGGAGGCAGCAGUGGGGGAUAUUGCACAAUGGGGGAAACCCUGAUGCAGCGACGCCGCGUGGAGGAAGAAGGUUUUCGGAUUGUAAACUCCUGUCGUUAGGGACGACAAUGACGGUACCUAACAAGAAAGCACCGGCUAACUACGUG
rnacentral:rRNA from 1 species